rnacentral:misc_RNA from 1 species
GACACCACUCGCCCCCCUUCUCUCCCCCCUGUAACAGGGGCGGGGGGGAUCGCGGGGCGGACUCUGAGUGUUCCGGAGUUCCCAUGCUCCGAGUGCACCUAAUCUCGUGAACGAAGCCUCUCGCGCCCUGCCGCACAGAGUUGUUGACGGCGCUCGCUUCGGCGGCGACUCUCGACUCACCAAACGUGCGCAGGCUGCGGGCUUCUUCCGGCGCUCCAGAAGAUCUCUCUCGAGACCUUUUGGAAACCGUACCACUUUCG